rnacentral:rRNA from 1 species
CCGAGAAUCUUUCACAAUGGGCGCAAGCCAGAUGGAGCGACGCCGCGUGGGGGAUGAAUGGCUUCGGCCCGUAAACCCCUGUCAUUUGCGAUCAACCGUUAUUAUUUAAAAGAUGAUAACCUGAUAGUAGCGAAAGAGGAAGGGACGGCUAACUCUGUGCCAGCAGCCGCGGUAAUACAGAGGUCCCAAGCGUUGUUCGGAUUUACUGGGCGUAAAGGGUGCGUAGGUGGCGGUGUAAGUCGGAUGUGAAAUCUCCGAGCUCAACUCGGAAACUGCAUUGGAAACUACAUUGCUCGAGGGUUGGAGGGGGGACUGGAAUACUUGGUGUAGCAGUGAAAUGCGUAGAUAUCAAGUGGAACACCAGUGGCGAAGGCGAGUCCCUGGACAACUCCUGACACUGAGGCACGAAAGCUAGGGGAGCAAACAG